AAAUCUGAUACUAUUGCUCCUUCAGAGAGUCUUCCUCUUGUUGAUGGUUGGGGAGGUUGCCAAAAUAACUUGCAAGUCAAAUUAUGCCUCUGGUAGCACUGGUUCUCCGCCAGAUAUUCCACCAGAGUAAUUACCUCAUAGCUUAUCGUGUCUAAUAUUAUGCAAUUGUUAUUCCAUGUUAACCAGAGUGCAACUCUUAUCUUUGAGGUGGAGCUGGUGGCUUGCGGGCC
rnacentral:lncRNA from 1 species